CCUGCAGGGGCCGACGCGUGGGCCGCCUGGCACGCCGUCCACGCCCGGGGGAGAAGGAAGCCCCGGGGUGGCUCUCGGAGGAGGAGGAGGAGGAGGAGGAGCAGUGCGAGCGUGCCAGCCGCGGGCGCAACUUUCCGCCUCGGCUGAUCUCCACUAGUGCCACAUUGCAGCUGGUGACCGUUUUGUUCCGUUGUUGAGUGUGGGUCGCGGUGGUCGUGCCCUUGUGCGGUGCACAGCUGCUGUCGCGGUCGAGACGGUAAACGCCGGCAUCCCAAACUUUUGUGUGUGUUAGCGUGCCCGGAUCUGGGUUAUUUUACGUGACGGCCGCCAAGUUGACGAGCUUGGUUUAAAAUGUAAGCCUAAAAGCAACGUGGAGUUUCUUUUAAGCAACUGUUUAAAAGAGGGUUGGCUUUUUUUGUUUUUGAAUGUAUAAAGCAAAACAAUAAAUCCUUUUUUUUUUUUUUUUACCGUGUGCUGUGUUUUUUUCUUUUAGUUUAACUUUAGAAGCUCAAACAGCCAUACAGGUUUGGGGGUUUGGGAGUGUGGGGGAGGGUUGGCCUUAGACUUUUAUGUUAAUGCGGUUCUUUAUAUCUGCAUUUUAUUAGAGGAGCACAGAUAAGAGCUGGAAGUAUGACUUCCGAGAGAUUUGAGUUUGAUAUCUAAUGACACAGGAGUUCAAUUCGUGACCUCUAUUAGGAAAAUACGAGUUUUGUGGAGAAAGUGUAGUUUGGGGUAAUUUAUGAAAACUACCCUGCAGUCUAUGUGGACGAUACUGGUAUUCAAAAUCGUAUUUUCUCCGAGGGGAGGAGUUAUGAUGGGUUUCUCUGUGUAGCUUUGGAGCCUGUCCUGGCACUCGAACUAAAUCUUUGAAAAGGGAUGUCUGACUGCUCUAACAGUCCAUCGUGCUCUGGGCAUCCCCUCUACCAGGAAGUGGUUGACGAAUGAGGACCCCGAAGUUGGACAACCUGGGACACCAUCAUCUUUGUCUCCUUCCCUCCACUCCCCUCUGCCCCGUCCCGCGGGGCUCGGUAAUUCGUGAGUCUGAGGUGGAUCACGCCUGCAAAUAAUGGGCGGGAAAGAAAAAGCGGGACCAAGCAGAUUUCUUGUCAAGGCCAUUUAUUAUUACAAGGGGUUUUUAUAGAGAAAGGAGGAAGCAGAGAAAAAGGAGGUGGGGGAGGGAUGAAUGUUAGUUGCUUUCAGGCAGGUAUCGGGAAUCUCCUGUGUUAAGGAAGUGGGGGAAGGGAUAGGUGUUAGUUGCUUCUCAGGCCAGGUCCCUGAAAGAAAGGGAUGGGAUGCUAGACUAUCUGGCGGCUAGCUAGGCAUGGGGAGUCGCCAAGGCUGGCUUCUGACACCCCUCCAGUCCUCUCAACUCUCCUCUCCAUUCUCAAGUUCCACCCCUGCCAGCCAGCAUGACUUGUUCUGUCUUUGUCAACCCCUCACACCCUUCGUGAACCAGUGCAGAGACCAACACAUGGGGGGAAUGUUCCUGGCUUAUACACAUUUCUAAGUGCUGCAUUAUCUACCUACCAUGGGGCGCACAUCUAGGACAUGGGAAAUAGGACAUCUGUGCCCUGAGCACAUAAUGUGUCUGGUGAUCCAAACAGGUCCCUGUCCAACUCCACAUCCAUUUUGUUGCUCUGGAAGAUAGCCUCUGUGCUUUCUGCUCCACCAUUUUUUUCCCCCAUCAGAAGACUAAAUGGGCCACCUUCACUUCCACUUGGACAGCGUUUGAGGAUGCCAGUCAGCACUGACAGGCAGCCCUCUCCCCUACUGAGCCAAUUCCACCAGCAAGAUUGCACUUGCCCACCUUGAUGAGUGGCAGGACAAUUACCGAUGGCCUUCCAGACCCAUUUCCAAGCUUCCGUAACCUGGCAAUAAAUGAAAUGCACAACCUUCUGGCUCAAUGGCGUUUAAGGCAACCACUCAUCAGUUCCGGCAGCAAAAGAAAUUGGAACUCAGAUGCUCCUAGUCCGUUUUUCUGGUUAGAGCUAUAAAUAAAGGAAAUGACUGUGCU